UAGUUAAAAAAAAAGAUUCAUUGUUCUUCAUAUUGAUUUUUUGUGGUUUUUAUUGUGAUCACUGAUCAUGAUGUGAUUUAUGUUAUUGUCCAUAUUAAAUCUAAUUUUUUUACCUUUUUUAUCCAACGUAGGCGCUAAAAAUACAUGCUGGGUAAGAGAUUAAACUUGGAUCGGUUGCUUCGUGGUUUUCAAAAGGGAGCCAGAAGAACCGAUCUGCAGCACCAUUGGAGCUUGGUCGGAGGCCGAGAAUAUUGUCAGCAUAAGCCGAGAUGUUUGUAGGAGGGCCUACAGGGUGAGUGGGGGAGUCCAAAGAUCCAAGGGUCGCUCCAUAAGGAGGCUGGUGGGUAACUUGAAGCACGACAUGGAGUGGGUUGAAAUAGCAGAGGGUACAGAUUUAAGCAUUGUCAACUUCCCUGCAGGCAACAGCUUCUACAUCCCCAUGUUGGUGAACCGGAUCAGGGGAUGUAGAACAAUAAGAUAAAUAUGAAGAUAAAUGGUCUGAGAAGAAAAAUAAAUGGGAGAAGACAAAGAUGAUGAAGAAGAAGAAUGAAAAGAAUAUAUUUGUAUUGCUUUUGCUUUCUUUUUGUUUUUUCACUAUCUUGGUAAUACUUUGGAUUUUAUUCGAUAUGAUCAAUCCAAUUGGCGAGUUUUCA